rnacentral:lncRNA from 1 species
AGGGAAAUAAGGAAACAAUCCUUGUGGGAAACAAAUUCCAAUUCAACAAGCAAAGGGAAGCGGCAGCAACACUAUAAAUAAAAAGGCAGCAAUAGACUAGGGCAUCUUCUGUCUUGGACUUGUCUCUUUGUUCUUUUCUUCUUUUUCCUUUUGAACGCAAGUAGAAAAUAGGAGCCGACAUCUUUUACUACUUCCUCAAUCGACAAAAACUCCAUGAAAACUCUGAAUUGCUUCAAGAUUAUGCGGCAAGGCUAGUUCGUUUAUCUAGUUGAGGAAUAAAUCAAGGAUCGGGGCACCAUAACUGUGAGAUCGUUUUAAUUGUUUUAUUUUUAAUUUAUAUGUUCAUGG